rnacentral:rRNA from 1 species
UUUCCGAAUGGGGAAACCCAGCAUGAGUUAUGUCAUGUUAUCGAUAUGUGAAUACAUAGCAUAUCAGAAGGCACACCCGGAGAACUGAAACAUCUUAGUACCCGGAGGAAGAGAAAGAAAAUUCGAUUCCCUUAGUAGCGGCGAGCGAAACGGGAAGAGCCCAAACCAACAAGCUUGCUUGUUGGGGUUGUAGGACACUCUAUACGGAGUUACAAAGGACGACAUUAGACGAAUCAUCUGGAAAGAUGAAUCAAA